AUCCUGGCUCAGAUUGAACGCUGGCGGCAGGCCUAACACAUGCAAGUCGAGCGGUAGAGAGGUGCUUGCAUCUCUUGAGAGCGGCGGACGGGUGAGUAAUGCCUAGGAAUCUGCCUAGUGGUGGGGGAUAACGUUCGGAAACGGACGCUAAUACCGCAUACGUCCUACGGGAGAAAGCGGGGGGAUCUUCGGACCUCGCGCCAUUAGAUGAGCCUAGGUCGGAUUAGCUAGUUGGUGAGGUAAUGGCUCACCAAGGCGACGAUCCGUAACUGGUCUGAGAGGAUGAUCAGUCACACUAGAACUGAGACACGGUCCAGACUCCUACGGGAGGCAGCAGUGGGGAAUAUUGGACAAUGGGCGAAAGCCUGAUCCAGCCAUGCCGCGUGUGUGAAGAAGGUCUUCGGAUUGUAAAGCACUUUAAGUUGGGAGGAAGGGUAGUAACCUAAUACGUUGCUACUUUGACGUUACCGACAGAAUAAGCACCGGCUAACUUCGUG
rnacentral:rRNA from 1 species